GCGAUGGUAGGAGCCUUCCAGUUCAGUCACUCAGGAUGUGCUUCUGGUGAAAGUGGAGGAGAUCCGAGUGUAAAAAAAUGCCACUGUACUGCAAACUGGCAAUGCAAUGAAUGCAUGCAUGAAUGGCACUGCAGACCACAUGUGCACACUUAUCUGGACACGCCUCACAGGUUUGUGAAGAGGAGUCUGGGAAAAGCCAGGCCCAAGGAAGGGUACUUCUUGAUCCAAAGCUUGCCUAACACUCUCCCAACCAUAAAGUUGCACCAGUGAAAAAUAUCGCCAAAAUGCAUGCUUCUAUCAGUUCCUGGAUCAUCAUGGCUAC